UCAUCUCCUGGCUCAUCUGCAAGAUUGGAUUCGUAAUGCAGGUUAUCAUGGGAACAUCCCCAGCAGAGUCAGCUGGGGAUGUUCUGCAGCUGGGAACAUUUUCCUUGAAAAUACUGAUGCAGCUCUCCUGAUUCGUCCUUACAUCAGUGAGCUAACCGUCUCUGAGAUACACGCUGUGAUGACAGGAGGCUUUGCCAGCAUUUCUGGUUCCAUUUUGGGAGCAUUUAUCUCUCUUGGGGUGAGGAAAACAUAGUGGCAAAGGAUGU